rnacentral:misc_RNA from 1 species
GAUGAAGAACGCAGCGAAAUGCGAUAAGUAAUGUGAAUUGCAGAAUUCAGUGAAUCAUCGAAUCUUUGAACGCACAUUGCGCCCGCCAGUAUUCUGGCGGGCAUGCCUGUUCGAGCGUCAUUUCAACCAUCAAGCCCCAGGCUUGUGUUGGGGACCUGCGGCUGCCGCAGGCCCUGAAAACCAGUGGCGGGCUCGCUGUCACACCGGGCGUAGUAGAUUUUAUCUCGCUCAGGGCGUGCUGCGGGUUCCGGCCGUUAAAAAGCCUUUUUUACCCAAGGUUGACCUCGGAUCAGGUAGGAAUACCCGCUGAACUUAAGCAUAUCAAUAAGCGGAGA